GACAGAGGGUGCAAACGUUGUUCGGAAUUACUGGGCGUAAAGCGCGUGUAGGCGGCCCUGCAAGUCGGAUGUGAAAUCCCACGGCUCAACCGUGGAAGUGCAUUCGAAACUGCAGGGCUAGAGUCCUGGAGAGGAAGGUGGAAUGCUUGGUGUAGAGGUGAAAUUCGUAGAUAUCAAGCGGAACACCGGUGGCGAAGGCGGCCUUCUGGACAGUGACUGACGCUGGGACGCGAAAGCGUGGGGAGCAAACAGG
rnacentral:rRNA from 1 species